GGAUCAGUACGAUGGUCGUGCCUCUGGUAUGUACUGUUGUUACUGGUUCCUCCCUUCUGAAGAACUGUCAUGUCAUUAAUUUGGUGUAGCGGGGAAUCAGGACUGUUACUUUGAAAAAAUUAGAGUGUUUAAAGCAGGCUAACGCUUGAAUACAUUAGCAUGGAAUAAUGAAAUAGGACGUUCGAUCUUAUUUUGUUGGUUUCUAAGAUUGACGUA
rnacentral:rRNA from 1 species